rnacentral:rRNA from 1 species
CAGCAGCCGCGGUAAUACGAAGGGGGCUAGCGUUGUUCGGAUUUACUGGGCGUAAAGCGCACGUAGGCGGAUCGAUCAGUCAGGGGUGAAAUCCCAGAGCUCAACUCUGGAACUGCCUUUGAUACUGUCGAUCUGGAGUAUGGAAUGGGUGAGUGGAAUUCCGAGUGUAGAGGUGAAAUUCGUAGAUAUCGGAAGGAACACCUGUGGCGAAGGCGGCUCACUGGACAAUAACUGACGCUGAUGCACGAAAGCUAGGGGAGCAAACAGGAUUAGAUACCCCCGUAGUCCCUGUCUCUUAUAC